UACGUAGGGGGCAAGCGUUGUCCGGAUUUAUUGGGCGUAAAGAGCGUGUAGGCGGCCAGUUAGGUCCGUUGUGAAAACUCGAGGCUCAACCUCGAGACGCCGAUGGAAACCAACUGGCUAGAGUCCGGAAGAGGAGAGUGGAAUUCCCGGUGUAGCGGUGAAAUGCGCAGAUAUCGGGAGGAACACCAGUGGCGAAGGCGGCGACCUGGGCCAAUACUGACGCUGAGGUGCGAAAGCGUGGGGAGCAAACAGG
rnacentral:rRNA from 1 species